UACGUAGGGGGCAAGCGUUGUCCGGAUUUAUUGGGCGUAAAGAGCGUGUAGGCGGCCAGGUAGGUCAGCUGUGAAAACUCGAGGCUCAACCUCGAGACGCCGGUUGAAACCAUCUGGCUAGAGUCCGGAAGAGGAGAGUGGAAUUCCUGGUGUAGCGGUGAAAUGCGCAGAUAUCAGGAAGAACACCCGUGGCUAAGGCGGCUCUCUAGUACGGUACUGACGCUGAGACGCGAAAAGCGUGGGGAGCGAACAGG
rnacentral:rRNA from 1 species